rnacentral:lncRNA from 1 species
UUAAUUCGAUGCAAAGCGAAGAACCUUACCAGGGCUUGACAUGCCGCGAAUCCUCUUGAAAGAGAGGGGUGCCUUCGGGAACGCCGCACAGGUGGUGCAUGGCUGUCGUCAGCUCGUGCCGUAAGGUGUUGCGGUUUUAUUAUUUAUGUAAUUUUUAUUUAAUUACUAGAAUAUUAUUUGUUUUAAAAAUUAAAAAAAAAUUGGGUAAUUAUGGAAGUGCCACGUGUCGAACAAUGCCCAAGAGU